rnacentral:tRNA from 1 species
GGUGUGGCCUAGUGGUAGGGUACUUGCCUGACAUGAAAGAGAUGUCUGGGUUCAAUUCCCAGUACC